CAGGGUGUGGCUCAGUGGUAGAGCACUUGGCCAGCGUGCAGGAGGCCCUGGGUUAGAGCCCCCAGAGUCUUGA
rnacentral:tRNA from 1 species